AAAAGUGUAUCCUACUGCAGCAGCUGUAAUAUAAAAGGUUGGCUGGCACUGUAAUAUUUGAAAGCUAUUUUUUAAAUAAACCUUAAACCCUUUUAAUUUCAAUAUAUAUGGAAAAUAUUUAUAAGCUAGUGAUCAUAUUCUUGUAGACUCUGCUUUUGUUAGUUACUAAAAUCGAUAGAGAAAAACACAUGAAGAAUUUUAAAUACUGAUUUGUUUUUUUAAUUAUGCAUUGUUUUAUUUGCAAUUGGACUACCUAUAUAUAUAUAUAUAUAUA